AAUGUGAUUUCUCCUCAUGAUAGGUCUGUUGGAUAACUGUAGUAGAUUUUUAUUCUCAAUAUUCACAAGCUUCUUGUUAAACUGCAAGAAGAUAUUGAUAAUUGGAACUUUUAGCUUAUGAUCAAAUGGAUCUAAGAAGCAGUGCAUGAUUAAUAUUAUUGGCUGCUUAGGGAUCUUGACUGGAUGAUCCUCACGUGAUGAAUCUUUGGUCAAAGGAUCUAAAACCAUUGAAUUUAUGAACAUGGACUCAUCAUAGACUUGAUCUUUGACGAGACAUGACUUUGUUAGAAUAGUUUGUUCCAUGGUUGGAUCUUCAUCUGUUUGUUUUCAUCUAAAAGGGCGUCCUAAUGCACAAGACUCUCUCCAUUCUAGGAGGGUCAAAUGUAUGCAGCCUUUUUCUUGGGUGCUGAGGAGCUAUUCCCAUAUUUUGAAUCCAUGACACCUAGGUCAGAAUGGAGCAACCUUACCAUUGCCCUCCCCCCUAACCGUUUGUUUUCAUCUGAUAACUAAAUUCUUUUCUUGUCCUGGACAGACUGAGAUGCUGGAGUUCAUUCGGUCAUUUUCCACUGUACAGAUAAGAUUGUAGCUAGGAGUUUGGAAUGAUGGUGGAGUGGAACUGCAACAAUAGGUGCGUCAUUGUGAUCUGCCUGCUCUGAUACCAAAUUGAUGUACCUCCAGUUGGACAAUGAGCUACAAAAUAUGAAUCUGCUGCGAGUUAGCGAAUA